CCUACGGGAGGCAGCAGUAGGGAAUAUUGCUCAAUGGGGGAAACCCUGAAGCAGCAACGCCGCGUGGAGGAUGAAGGUUUUCGUAUUGUAAACUCCUUUUGUUAGAGAAGAUAAUGACGGUAUCUAACGAAUAAGCACCGUCUAACUCCGUGCCAGCAGCCGCGGUAAUACGGAGGGUGCAAGCGUUACUCGGCAUCACUGGGCGUAAAGGGCGCGUAGGCGGGAUAGCAAGUCAGAUGUGAAAUCCUAUGGCUUAACCAUAGAACUGCAUUUGAAACUGUUAUUCUAGAGUAUGGGAGAGGUAGGUGGAAUUCUUGGUGGAGGGGUAAAAUCCGUAGAGAUCAAGAGGAAUACUCAUUGCGAAGGCGACCUGCUAGAACAUAACUGACGCUGAUGCGCGAAAGCGUGGGGAGCAAACAGGAUUAGAUACCCCUGUAGUC
rnacentral:rRNA from 1 species